UCCCACAGUCGUAUCACCCUGCAGCCCAAGACUCAAGGUUACUUACUGAAGCUAUGCAGGGCUGAACUUGUUUAGUACCUAGAGGGGAGACCACAUGGAAAACUAGGUUGCUGUUGGAA
ensembl:rRNA 5S_rRNA 5S ribosomal RNA